rnacentral:rRNA from 1 species
ACACGACUACAUUAGAUACCCCCGUAGUCCAGGGUGUAAACGCUGCGGGCUUGGUGUUGGGGGUCCUUUGAGGGCGCCCAGCGCCGGAGAGAAGUUGUUAAGCCUGCUGCUUGGGGAGUACGUCCGCAAGGAUGAAACUUAAAGGAAUUGGCGGGGGAGCACCGCAACGGGAGGAGCGUGCGGUUCAAUUGGAUUCAACGCCGGACAACUCACCAGGAGCGACGGUUACAUGAAGGCCAGGCUGAUGACCUUGCCUGAUUUUCCG